ACUCAACGUUAAUUCUUUAAAAAGGGUGAGUUUAAGUUGUAAAAUCGAGCUGCCAUUUUGAGCAGAUUUUUGAUCAGCUUGUUAGCCCUAAACUUGUUUUUAAGGAGUUU
rnacentral:sRNA from 1 species